rnacentral:rRNA from 1 species
CACGUAGGGCGCGAGCGUUGUCCGGAAUUAUUGGGCGUAAAGAGCUCGUAGGCGGCCUGUUGCGUCCGCUGUGAAAGCCCGGGGCUUAACCCCGGGUCGGCAGUGGAUACGGGCAGGCUAGAGGGAGGUAGGGGAGAAUGGAAUUCCCGGUGUAGCGGUGAAAUGCGCAGAUAUCUGGAGGAACACCGGUGGCGAAGGCGGUCCUCUGGGCAUUACCUGACGCUGAGGAGCGAAAGCGUGGGGAGCGAACAGG